CCACCCAAAUCUCAUUUUUAAUUGUAAUCCCCAUAGUCCUCAUAUGUCAUGGGAGUGACCUGGUGGGAAGUGAUUGGAUCAUGGGGGCGGUUUCCCCCAUGCUGUUCUCAAUUAAUCAGUUGCAAUUCAUUUCAUAUGUUUCAAUUGCACUCGUUAUAGUGAGUGAGUUCUCACGAGAUCUGAUGGUUUUGCAAGCAUCUAGCAUUUCCCUUGCUGGCACUCACUCUCUCUCCUGCCACCUUGUGAAGAAAGUGCCUGCUUCUGCUUUGUCUUCUGCCAUGAUUGCAAGUUUCCUGAGGACUCCCCAGCCAUCAUGCAGAACAAAAAGCAUCUUGCUGUGUUGCCCAGGCUGGUCCCAAACUCCUUGCUUCAAGUGACCCUCCUGCUUCGGCCUCCCAAAGUGCUGAGAUUACAGGUAUGAGUCACCAUCUCUGGCCUAUGAUUCUUUCUUAAACUGACACUUUUUUUUCUAAUUAUUUAAGAGCACUCUCUCAAAUCGUUAGAAGAAAAGAUCACAUUAAUAAUGUUAACACUAGCUAGUUCUGAAAAAAAAAUAGACUAAAUCCUCUUCAAUUCUUUAAAUGUGAACUUCCUAGAAUUUCAUUCUCCUUUAACCCUCCAUUCCAAGGCAUGUGCCAGAAUGAUAGGCAUUACCGGCUGGGCGCAGUGGCUCACGCCUGUAAUCCCAGCACUUUGGGAGGCCGAGGUGUGUGGAUCACUUGAGGUCAGUAGUUCAAGACCAGCCUAGCCAACAUAGUGAUGAAUCCCCGUCUCUACUAAAAAUACAAAAAUAAGCCAGGCAUGGUGGUGCAUGCCUGUAAUCGUAGCUACUCAGGAGGCUGAGGCAGGAAAAUCACUUGAACCCAGGAUGCAGAGUUUGCAGCGAGCUGUAAUUGCACCACUGCAUUCCAGCCUGGAUGACAAAAUGAGUGAGACUCCGUCAAAAAAAAAAAAAAAAAAGAAGAAGAAGAAGAAAGAAAGAAAAGAAAGGAAGGAAGGCAGGCAGGCAGGCAGGCAUGCAUUACCAUCAAAGAGCAAGAAUGCUAAAUUUUAUUUUAUACACAAUUAACUUUAAAUUCACAAAAUGAUCAUAGAUGCCUUUAAAAUUGAAAAAAAUAAAAUGACAAAAAUAUUUGUUGACAUUUAUUUGGUGAGGAAAGAAAAGCUCUGGAACACACAUAUGUUAAUAUUGGUAAUCAUCAGAGCCAGCUUCACAAGCAUGUGACCUGUGCACUCACACAGGACCCCACACUCAGAGCACUUGAUUUAAUGCUCUGUCAUCACCAUCUUGAAAUUUUUUAUUAUUAUUUUAAGUUCAGGAUGCCUGUGCAGGAUGUUCAGGCUUGUUACAUAGGAAAAUGUGUGCCAUGGUGGUUUGCUGCACCUAUCAACCCAUCACCUAGGUAUUAAGCCCCGCAUGCAUUAGCUGUCUUUCCUGAUGCUCUCCCUCCCACUGCAACCACCCCCCGACAGGCCUUAGUGUGUGUUGUUCCCCUCCCUGUGUCCAUGUGUUCUCAUUGUUCAGCUCCCAUUUAUAAGUGAAAAUAUGUGGUAUUUGGUUUUCUGUUCCUGCUUUAGUUUGCUGAGAAUAAUGGCUUCCAGCUCCAUCCAUGUCCCUGCAAAGGACAUGAUCUUGUUCCUUUUUAAGGUGGCAUAGUAGUCCAUGGUGUAUACGUACAACAUUUUCUUUAUCCAGU
rnacentral:lncRNA from 10 species